rnacentral:rRNA from 1 species
UACGGAGGGUGCAAGCGUUAUCCGGAUUCACUGGGUUUAAAGGGAGCGUAGGUGGGUUGGUAAGUCAGUGGUGAAAUCCCCGAGCUUAACUUGGGAACUACCAUUGAUACUAUCAGUCUUGAAUACUGUGGAGGUUAGCGGAAUAUGUCAUGUAGCGGUGAAAUGCUUAGAUAUGACAUAGAACACCAAUUGCGAAGGCAGCUGGCUACACAAUUAUUGACACUGAGGCUCGAAAGCGUGGGGAUCAAACAGG